GUUAAGCGACUAAGCGUACACGGUGGAUGCCCUGGCAGUCAGAGGCGAUGAAGGACGUGCUAAUCUGCGAUAAGCGUCGGUAAGGUGAUAUGAACCGUUAUAACCGGCGAUUUCCGAAUGGGGAAACCCAGUGUGAUUCGUCACACUAUCAUUAACUGAAUCCAUAGGUUAAUGAGGCGAACCGGGGGAACUGAAACAUCUAAGUACCCCGAGGAAAAGAAAUCAACCGAGAUUCCCCCAGUAGCGGCGAGCGAACGGGGAGCAGCCCAGAGCCUGAAUCAGUGUGUGUGUUAGUGGAAGCGUCUGGAAAGGCGCGCGAUACAGGGUGACAGCCCCGUACACAAAAAUGCACAUGCUGUGAGCUCGAUGAGUAGGGCGGGACACGUGGUAUCCUGUCUGAAUAUGGGGGGACCAUCCUCCAAGGCUAAAUACUCCUGACUGACCGAUAGUGAACCAGUACCGUGAGGGAAAGGCGAAAAGAACCCCGGCGAGGGGAGUGAAAAAGAACCUGAAACCGUGUACGUACAAGCAGUGGGAGCACGCUUAGGCGUGUGACUGCGUACCUUUUGUAUAAUGGGUCAGCGACUUAUAUUCUGUAGCAAGGUUAACCGAAUAGGGGAGCCGAAGGGAAACCGAGUCUUAACUGGGCGUUAAGUUGCAGGGUAUAGACCCGAAACCCGGUGAUCUAGCCAUGGGCAGGUUGAAGGUUGGGUAACACUAACUGGAGGACCGAACCGACUAAUGUUGAAAAAUUAGCGGAUGACUUGUGGCUGGGGGUGAAAGGCCAAUCAAACCGGGAGAUAGCUGGUUCUCCCCGAAAGCUAUUUAGGUAGCGCCUCGUGAAUUCAUCUCCGGGGGUAGAGCACUGUUUCGGCAAGGGGGUCAUCCCGACUUACCAACCCGAUGCAAACUGCGAAUACCGGAGAAUGUUAUCACGGGAGACACACGGCGGGUGCUAACGUCCGUCGUGAAGAGGGAAACAACCCAGACCGCCAGCUAAGGUCCCAAAGUCAUGGUUAAGUGGGAAACGAUGUGGGAAGGCCCAGACAGCCAGGAUGUUGGCUUAGAAGCAGCCAUCAUUUAAAGAAAGCGUAAUAGCUCACUGGUCGAGUCGGCCUGCGCGGAAGAUGUAACGGGGCUAAACCAUGCACCGAAGCUGCGGCAGCGACGCUUAUGCGUUGUUGGGUAGGGGAGCGUUCUGUAAGCCUGCGAAGGUGUGCUGUGAGGCAUGCUGGAGGUAUCAGAAGUGCGAAUGCUGACAUAAGUAACGAUAAAGCGGGUGAAAAGCCCGCUCGCCGGAAGACCAAGGGUUCCUGUCCAACGUUAAUCGGGGCAGGGUGAGUCGACCCCUAAGGCGAGGCCGAAAGGCGUAGUCGAUGGGAAACAGGUUAAUAUUCCUGUACUUGGUGUUACUGCGAAGGGGGGACGGAGAAGGCUAUGUUGGCCGGGCGACGGUUGUCCCGGUUUAAGCGUGUAGGCUGGUUUUCCAGGCAAAUCCGGAAAAUCAAGGCUGAGGCGUGAUGACGAGGCACUACGGUGCUGAAGCAACAAAUGCCCUGCUUCCAGGAAAAGCCUCUAAGCAUCAGGUAACAUCAAAUCGUACCCCAAACCGACACAGGUGGUCAGGUAGAGAAUACCAAGGCGCUUGAGAGAACUCGGGUGAAGGAACUAGGCAAAAUGGUGCCGUAACUUCGGGAGAAGGCACGCUGAUAUGUAGGUGAAGUCCCUCGCGGAUGGAGCUGAAAUCAGUCGAAGAUACCAGCUGGCUGCAACUGUUUAUUAAAAACACAGCACUGUGCAAACACGAAAGUGGACGUAUACGGUGUGACGCCUGCCCGGUGCCGGAAGGUUAAUUGAUGGGGUUAGCGCAAGCGAAGCUCUUGAACGAAGCCCCGGUAAACGGCGGCCGUAACUAUAACGGUCCUAAGGUAGCGAAAUUCCUUGUCGGGUAAGUUCCGACCUGCACGAAUGGCGUAAUGAUGGCCAGGCUGUCUCCACCCGAGACUCAGUGAAAUUGAACUCGCUGUGAAGAUGCAGUGUACCCGCGGCAAGACGGAAAGACCCCGUGAACCUUUACUAUAGCUUGACACUGAACAUUGAGCCUUGAUGUGUAGGAUAGGUGGGAGGCUUUGAAGUGUGGACGCCAGUCUGCAUGGAGCCGACCUUGAAAUACCACCCUUUAAUGUUUGAUGUUCUAACGUGGACCCGU
rnacentral:rRNA from 1 species